rnacentral:rRNA from 1 species
AGGAUAAACGCUGGCGGCGUGCCUAACACAUGCAAGUCGAGCGGAAAGGCCCUUCGGGGUACUCGAGCGGCGAACGGGUGAGUAACACGUGAGCAACCUGCCCUUAGCUUCGGGAUAGCUCCGGGAAACCGGAAUUAAUACCGAAUAUGAUUUUUGCUGACAUCAGCAGAAGUGGAAAGUUUUUCGGCUAGGGAUGGACUCGCGGCCUAUCAGCUAGUUGGUGAGGUAACGGCCCACCAAGGCGACGACGGGUA